rnacentral:ncRNA from 1 species
CAUGGCACAAACGGGUGCCCGGCGAUCCACGCGGUGAUACUGUUUCCCCGUCUUAAAUGGCAAUGAGCAAACAGUAUCACCAGCAGCAAUAUGUCGCCGGGCUGAGAUCAGACCGUCAUAACUUGAUCGUGUUCGUACACGCGUAAGGAUAAAGUUGCCAUUUUAC